UACAGAGGUGGCAAGCGUUGUUCGGAUUUACUGGGCGUAAAGGGUGCGUAGGUGGUCGCUCGUGUCGGGUGUGAAAGCCCACGGCUUAACCGUGGAAUGGCAUUCGAAACUGGGCGACUUGAGUACAGGAGGGGAGAGCGGAAUUCUUGGUGUAGCGGUGAAAUGCGUUGAUAUCAAGAAGAACACCGGUGGCCGAAGGCGGCUCUCUGGAAUGUUACUGACGACUGAGGCACG
rnacentral:rRNA from 1 species